AAAAUAAUCGUACUUUUGCACCCGCUUCGAGAGAGGCGAAAGAAUAGAAGAACACGUUCAUAGACAUAUUGGAUUGACAGCAGUUUCGGCAGCGAUGCCGGAGCUAAAAAAGAGAGAGCGGCGCGGUCUUUAGAUAAGACCCGCAACAAAGCUGAGAUUCGUCGAAAUUAUUAAAAUAUACGAUGAAGAGUUUGAUCCUGGCUCAGGAUGAACGCUAGCGGCAGGCCUAACACAUGCAAGUCGAGGGGUAGAUGUCUUCGGGCAUCGAGACCGGCGCACGGGUGCGUAACGCGUAUGCAACCUGCCUUCCACAAAGGGAUAGCCCAGAGAAAUUUGGAUUAAUACCUUAUAGUAUAUCGACCCGGCAUCGGGAUGGUAUUAAAGAUUUAUCGGUGGAAGAUGGGCAUGCGUCCCAUUAGCUUGUUGGUAAGGUAACGGCUUACCAAGGCAAUGAUGGGUAGGGGUCCUGAGAGGGAGAUCCCCCACACUGGUACUGAGACACGGACCAGACUCCUACGGGAGGCAGCAGUGAGGAAUAUUGGACAAUGGGCGCAAGCCUGAUCCAGCCAUGCCGCGUGCAGGAUGACGGUCCUAUGGAUUGUAAACUGCUUUUAUACGGGAAGAAACCCUGGCUCGUGAGCCAGACUGACGGUACCGUAGGAAUAAGGAUCGGCUAACUCCGUGCCAGCAGCCGCGGUAAUACGGAGGAUCCAAGCGUUAUCCGGAAUCAUUGGGUUUAAAGGGUCCGUAGGCGGCCCCGUAAGUCAGUGGUGAAAUCUCCCGGCUCAACCGGGAAAUUGCCAUUGAUACUGCAGGGCUUGAAUUAUUGGGAAGUAACUAGAAUAUGUAGUGUAGCGGUGAAAUGCUUAGAUAUUACAUGGAAUACCGAUUGCGAAGGCAGGUUACUAUCAAUACAUUGACGCUGAUGGACGAAAGCGUGGGUAGCGAACAGGAUUAGAUACCCUGGUAGUCCACGCCGUAAACGAUGGAUACUAGCUGUUCGGGGCAACCUGAGUGGCUAAGCGAAAGUGAUAAGUAUCCCACCUGGGGAGUACGUUCGCAAGAAUGAAACUCAAAGGAAUUGACGGGGGCCCGCACAAGCGGUGGAGCAUGUGGUUUAAUUCGAUGAUACGCGAGGAACCUUACCAGGGCUUAAAUGUGGCCUGACAGGACCGGAAACGGUUUUUCCUUCGGGCAGGUCACAAGGUGCUGCAUGGUUGUCGUCAGCUCGUGCCGUGAGGUGUCAGGUUAAGUCCUAUAACGAGCGCAACCCCUGUCGUUAGUUGCCAGCGAGUCAUGUCGGGAACUCUAACGAGACUGCCAGUGCAAACUGAGAGGAAGGUGGGGAUGACGUCAAAUCAUCACGGCCCUUACGCCCUGGGCUACACACGUGCUACAAUGGACGGUACAGAGAGCAGCCACUGGGCGACCAGGAGCGAAUCUACAAAACCGUUCACAGUUCGGAUCGGAGUCUGCAACUCGACUCCGUGAAGCUGGAAUCGCUAGUAAUCGGAUAUCAGCCAUGAUCCGGUGAAUACGUUCCCGGGCCUUGUACACACCGCCCGUCAAGCCAUGGAAGCUGGGGGUGCCUGAAGUCGGUGACCGCAAGGAGCUGCCUAGGGUAAAACCGGUAACUGGGGCUAAGUCGUAACAAGGUAGCCGUACCGGAAGGUGCGGCUGGAACACCUCCUUUCU
rnacentral:rRNA from 1 species